AUGGAUGAAAACCUAAAGAUCAUUUUUUGGAACGUCAGAGGCCUAAACUCUCAUGCUAAACGUACUGCAGUCCGUAGCGUUAUUUCCUCGGCUACCCCUUGCAUUGUCUAUCUCCAGGAAAUGAAGCUUGCUAACAUCUCUGACUCCCUGGUGUUGGAAACCCUGGGCGCCUCCUUCCUCGACUUAUUUUUCCUCCCCGCCGAUGGCACUCGCGGCGGCAUCUUGCUUGCUUGGCGCUGCUGUUGGAAAUAUGCCCUAGAGGCAAUAAUAAAUGGUUAUUAUUAUAUUUCUUUGUUCAUGGUAAUUGUCUAUUGUUCAUGCUAUAAUUGUGUUAUCCGGAAAUCGUAA
rnacentral:rRNA from 1 species